UGAAAUUUAAACAUAAUAUGUUGUUAUUUUAUUCAAAAAACAAACAAAAGAUACAAACUUUGAUAAUACAAUGAACAUGCUCUAAGCUUGUCAAUGAAAGAGGGUGACAAACAUAGUAUUAUUGUUUUCUUUUCACAAAAUAACUCAACAAUUUUACAAUAAGGUGUUAUGCUACCCACAAUGACACCCAUCUCGAGUGCACUUCAAGACUUCAGGAGGGAUGCACUCAUAAGCUGAAAAAUUAAUAUCAAAAGUAAUCAAACAAAAUAAAGUAAUGUAAAAUAAAAUAAAAACAUUGUUACUCUAAAAAAGAAAUUCUAAAAGGGAAAAAAAGAGUUAACUUCCUCGAGCACCUUCACAUCGACACCCAUCCUGAGUGCACUUCAAGACUCCAGGAGGGAUACAACCAUGACCUAGAAAAUAAAUGUCAAAAGUAAUAAAGAAUGUUACUCAAAUGAGAUGAAUGAUUGCGUUUAAAGUAAAAAAAAAAAAAAAAAAAAAGGGCUAACUCCCGUUUGCACCUUCACAUCGACACCCAUUCUCAGUGCACCUCAUGACUCUAGAAGAGAUACACUCAUGAGCUGGAAAAUAAACGUUAACACAAAAUGAUCAUGUCAUCUAAAACAAGGUUAAAAGAAUGUUACCGAAAUAAGAUGAAUGAGGUAAAGAAGAAAAACAUAAAUGAGCUUACUCUGGCUUGCACCGUCUCUUAAACCAAGAAUGAGGUAAAGAAGAAAAAUUGAAGCAUAAACCAACUUAAGAAACUUAGUCAUAUUUUUUUCCCUUUCAAUUUGCAUAUAAUUAACAUGAAAUUCUUCAACAAAAAAAAAAAAAAGAAAUUGUACGUUUUUUGGUAGUGAAAAUCCCCCACGCUUGAUUUACUGCAUUUAUAUGGUUUUUA
rnacentral:lncRNA from 1 species